GGUGGUCUUGCUGGGCAAUCUUUUAUUUCUCAUGUCACUGCAAAGAUUCUUGAUAGCAUUCAAGUGGACAUACGGAAUUUACAUUUUGUGUAUAGCGAUGUGCAAAAUGAUCUGGGGCAUAUUAUGUUUGGGUUGAAGUUUUCUAACUUGACCAUGAAGCAAAAUCUUGUUGGUUCUUCAAAUGGAAGGGUGAGUGUGGCCCAAGAACAGAAAAUUGUAGAGGUGAAAGGACUGGAAAUUUAUUCCAGUAUGCCAUAGUUCAAUGGAUUUGGUAAUUAUGAACACUAUGGGUAACUCCUACUCAGCAAGCACUAUAGGACCCGAAGGAAAACAAUACAAUUCAAUAUUAGCACCAUUCGACGUGACCUUAAUUCUUUCGGCUAACAGAUCGCAAAAGCCUGAUGACAAUGCUGCUCAAUAUUCUGUUACUGCUGAACUGAGUGGUUUGGUUAUAUCCU